rnacentral:circRNA from 1 species
ACUGAUGUCCUCAAGUGUGUGGUCAGCACAGACCCUGGCCUCCGCUCCCACUGGCUGGUGGCUGCACUCUGCAGCUUCGGCCGCUUCCUGAAGGCUGCCUUCUUCGUGCUGCUGCCAGAGAGAUGAGCUGCCCACCUGGCAGUGGCCGCAGCCUGGCCCUCUGGGCCCAACGCAGGAGGCCCUCAGCACCCGAACACAUCUUCCUCCUCCCCACCCGAGCCUGGAGCACUCUAACCCUCGGAGACCCCCUAAGCCCCGUUCCUCCGCAGACCCAGGCCCUCCGGAAGGG